AAAUUGAAGAGUUUGAUCAUGGCUCAGAUUGAACGCUGGCGGCAGGCCUAACACAUGCAAGUCGAGCGGUAGCACAGAGAGCUUGCUCUCGGGUGACGAGCGGCGGACGGGUGAGUAAUGUCUGGGAAACUGCCUGAUGGAGGGGGAUAACUACUGGAAACGGUAGCUAAUACCGCAUAACGUCGCAAGACCAAAGAGGGGGACCUUCGGGCCUCUUGCCAUCAGAUGUGCCCAGAUGGGAUUAGCUAGUAGGUGGGGUAACGGCUCACCUAGGCGACGAUCCCUAGCUGGUCUGAGAGGAUGACCAGCCACACUGGAACUGAGACACGGUCCAGACUCCUACGGGAGGCAGCAGUGGGGAAUAUUGCACAAUGGGCGAAAGCCUGAUGCAGCCAUGCCGCGUGUAUGAAGAAGGCCUUCGGGUUGUAAAGUACUUUCAGCGGGGAGGAAGGCGAUAAGGUUAAUAACCUUGUCGAUUGACGUUACCCGCAGAAGAAGCACCGGCUAACUCCGUGCCAGCAGCCGCGGUAAUACGGAGGGUGCAAGCGUUAAUCGGAAUUACUGGGCGUAAAGCGCACGCAGGCGGUCUGUCAAGUCGGAUGUGAAAUCCCCGGGCUCAACCUGGGAACUGCAUUCGAAACUGGCAGGCUAGAGUCUUGUAGAGGGGGGUAGAAUUCCAGGUGUAGCGGUGAAAUGCGUAGAGAUCUGGAGGAAUACCGGUGGCGAAGGCGGCCCCCUGGACAAAGACUGACGCUCAGGUGCGAAAGCGUGGGGAGCAAACAGGAUUAGAUACCCUGGUAGUCCACGCCGUAAACGAUGUCGACUUGGAGGUUGUGCCCUUGAGGCGUGGCUUCCGGAGCUAACGCGUUAAGUCGACCGCCUGGGGAGUACGGCCGCAAGGUUAAAACUCAAAUGAAUUGACGGGGGCCCGCACAAGCGGUGGAGCAUGUGGUUUAAUUCGAUGCAACGCGAAGAACCUUACCUACUCUUGACAUCCAGAGAACUUAGCAGAGAUGCUUUGGUGCCUUCGGGAACUCUGAGACAGGUGCUGCAUGGCUGUCGUCAGCUCGUGUUGUGAAAUGUUGGGUUAAGUCCCGCAACGAGCGCAACCCUUAUCCUUUGUUGCCAGCGGUUAGGCCGGGAACUCAAAGGAGACUGCCAGUGAUAAACUGGAGGAAGGUGGGGAUGACGUCAAGUCAUCAUGGCCCUUACGAGUAGGGCUACACACGUGCUACAAUGGCGCAUACAAAGAGAAGCGACCUCGCGAGAGCAAGCGGACCUCAUAAAGUGCGUCGUAGUCCGGAUUGGAGUCUGCAACUCGACUCCAUGAAGUCGGAAUCGCUAGUAAUCGUAGAUCAGAAUGCUACGGUGAAUACGUUCCCGGGCCUUGUACACACCGCCCGUCACACCAUGGGAGUGGGUUGCAAAAGAAGUAGGUAGCUUAACCUUCGGGAGGGCGCUUACCACUUUGUGAUUCAUGACUGGGGUGAAGUCGUAACAAGGUAACCGUAGGGGAACCUGCGGUUGGAUCACCUCCUUA
rnacentral:rRNA from 1 species